rnacentral:rRNA from 1 species
GUGGAUUAGAUACCCUGGUAGUCCACGCCGUAAACGAUGGAUACUAGGUGUGGGGGGACUGACCCCCUCCGUGCCGCAGUUAACACAAUAAGUAUCCCACCUGGGGAGUACGAUCGCAAGGUUGAAACUCAAAGGAAUUGACGGGGGCCCGCACAAGCGGUGGAGUAUGUGGUUUAAUUCGAAGCAACGCGAAGAACCUUACCAGGGCUUGACAUCCUACUAACGAAGCAGAGAUGCAUUAGGUGCCCUUCGGGGAAAGUAGAGACAGGUGGUGCAUGGCCGUCGACAGCU